AAAACAUUAAAAUUCCCCCUUUCCUUCUCUCACAGAUCACUCUAUGGUUGCUGACAAAAGAAAGGAGCCCUAUUACCUUUUUCUCUUUCCAUUUUUGUUGAGCUCCAGCUUUUUUCUCUUCUCCUCGACGUUGAGUUCAUCCACAGAUCUGUCAAAAUUAUCUUCUGCUGAGAAAUUCCUGAUUUAAAAUUAACCCUUUCUUUACUGUCUAUAUAUUUCUUCUUCAACUAAUCUGCCGACAUUUCUUCUUGCUCCGGGAUCCAUCCUAAAGAAUGAAAAAGUCAAAAGACGAUAAGAUGGUGAGAGGAAAGAUAGAGAUGGAGAAAUUACAAAACGCGACGAGUAGACAAGUGACUUUCUCAAAAAGAAGAAAUGGUUUGUUGAAGAAAGCUUAUGAGCUCUCAGUACUCUGUGACGCUCAAAUCUCUCUCAUCAUCUUCUCUCAAAGAGGAAGACUUUACGAGUUCUCUAACUCAGACUUCAAGAAUUGAUAGUCAACUCCACAUAAGCUUGGGCAAGGUCCGAGCAAGAAAGGUAUAUAUACUUCAUUACUAGCUUGGUAGAUAUAUAUAUAAUGAUCGAUGCUCAAAUGCAAAAAUAAAAUUAUAUAUAUAUAUAUCUGAAUAUUUUCCCAUCCCAACCGUCUGGUUAUUGUCCUCAUUUAGAGACAAACUUGAACAGGGAUUCAUUGCAGUCGUUUGGCGACAUAUCUCAAUCAAUUUACUAUAACAUCGAUUCACAAUUACGUAUAAUUUCUAUAUUAGCGUUUUUAACAUAAAAGUGAAUUAAAAUAGUUGAAGUUUUUAGGCUCAGCUGUUUAGUUGGAGAAGCUAAAAGCAAAGGUACAAUACCAUAUAAUAUGUUAAAAAAAAUGAGUGUGUGUCUAUUUUGUUUGGUUGCACUGUAAUAUAUAAAUGGUUGGAAAAUGUGGCUUCGUUUCAGGAGAAACAAUUGUUAGAAGAGAACGUUCAGUUACAUCAAAUGACUUAUCUCUUGAUCGUCUGCUGGGUGUCACUAAAAGUAUGAACUUUUCAUGGAAUAUUCAGUUUUUUCAGACUCAAAGGUAUGCAUUUUGAGUCUGUUUAGGCUCAAGUAUAGUCACCAAAGACUCGUACGCAACAUUUUGAUUAGAAAAUUUUGGCCGAAUGAAAAAUAUCAUGACAUAAGGUAUACGUUUUUCAAAAAAAGGGCAUUUCAACUUCAAGGAGUGUUGAUAGCAUACUAUAGCUUGUUUUGGGUUCUAGUAGUAGGAGAGUCUCUUAUUCAUCUUGAAUAAGUACACCGGUUGAGUCAUAUCCGAGUCAGCAACUCGUCCGGCAGACAACGAUUCCAAACUGGAGGAAUAGAGUGCCACUUUCCGUAAUAUAAAGUGACUUUGUAACACAUGCUUGUAUAAAGCUAAUUGACAGAAAAGGUACGAAAAGAAUUGGGAGUGUUGGGGGAUUCGGUGAAUUCGAAGUAGCAGUAGAUGCGGAUGAGACAACCUUCGUUGUGGUGGCUGAAGAUAUGAAGAGGAGUAAAACGACGGUGUUACGGCGGCGCGAAGCUUCUCCGGCAAGAAUAUUUGCUUGAUUUACCUCGAUCGUCUUGCUCGAUCAGCCUCGUGGAGUGGGAUCUUCUUCUUCUGUAAUAUAAAGCGACUUGAUUUUGUAUGUGGUGUUAAUUGAGGAGCUACACGGUGAGAACUGAGAAGCUGUUUCGAAGAGGCGAUGCGAGGUAAUGCAAGAAGACGACAAAGGUGAUGAGAGUUGGAAAGGGUAGUGAUAAAUCGCUCGAAACGCUAGAUUCGCCGAUUGAUUGCUGGAUCAGUGAAUAGAUGGAAACCUUACUUAGAAUUGCCUACGGCUGAGAAGAGAGAGCGUGAAACGAUAAAAUUUUAUAUAGGUAUGGGCUUAAUAAAGCAAAACACACAGACAAAAUAUGAACCCAAGCCCAACAGAUUCUGAGGAAAAAAUAAAUGAAA